GGGUUGUGAGGUUAAGCGACUAAGCGUACACGGUGGAUGCCCUGGCAGUCAGAGGCGAUGAAGGACGUGCUAAUCUGCGAUAAGCGUCGGUAAGGUGAUAUGAACCGUUAUAACCGGCGAUUUCCGAAUGGGGAAACCCAGUGUGUUUCGACACACUAUCAUUAACUGAAUCCAUAGGUUAAUGAGGCGAACCGGGGGAACUGAAACAUCUAAGUACCCCGAGGAAAAGAAAUCAACCGAGAUUCCCCCAGUAGCGGCGAGCGAACGGGGAGCAGCCCAGAGCCUGAAUCAGUGUGUGUGUUAGUGGAAGCGUCUGGAAAGGCGCGCGAUACAGGGUGACAGCCCCGUACACAAAAAUGCACAUGCUGUGAGCUCGAUGAGUAGGGCGGGACACGUGGUAUCCUGUCUGAAUAUGGGGGGACCAUCCUCCAAGGCUAAAUACUCCUGACUGACCGAUAGUGAACCAGUACCGUGAGGGAAAGGCGAAAAGAACCCCGGCGAGGGGAGUGAAAAAGAACCUGAAACCGUGUACGUACAAGCAGUGGGAGCCUCUUUUAUGGGGUGACUGCGUACCUUUUGUAUAAUGGGUCAGCGACUUAUAUUCUGUAGCAAGGUUAACCGAAUAGGGGAGCCGAAGGGAAACCGAGUCUUAACUGGGCGUUAAGUUGCAGGGUAUAGACCCGAAACCCGGUGAUCUAGCCAUGGGCAGGUUGAAGGUUGGGUAACACUAACUGGAGGACCGAACCGACUAAUGUUGAAAAAUUAGCGGAUGACUUGUGGCUGGGGGUGAAAGGCCAAUCAAACCGGGAGAUAGCUGGUUCUCCCCGAAAGCUAUUUAGGUAGCGCCUCGUGAAUUCAUCUCCGGGGGUAGAGCACUGUUUCGGCAAGGGGGUCAUCCCGACUUACCAACCCGAUGCAAACUGCGAAUACCGGAGAAUGUUAUCACGGGAGACACACGGCGGGUGCUAACGUCCGUCGUGAAGAGGGAAACAACCCAGACCGCCAGCUAAGGUCCCAAAGUCAUGGUUAAGUGGGAAACGAUGUGGGAAGGCCCAGACAGCCAGGAUGUUGGCUUAGAAGCAGCCAUCAUUUAAAGAAAGCGUAAUAGCUCACUGGUCGAGUCGGCCUGCGCGGAAGAUGUAACGGGGCUAAACCAUGCACCGAAGCUGCGGCAGCGACGCUUAUGCGUUGUUGGGUAGGGGAGCGU
rnacentral:rRNA from 1 species